rnacentral:rRNA from 1 species
UACGUAGGGGGCGAGCGUUGUCCGGAAUGACUGGGCGUAAAGGGCGUGUAGGCGGCGGUGUAAGUCUGGAGUGAAAGUCCCGCAUUCAAUGUGGGAAUUGCUUUGGAUACUGCAGUGCUAGAGUGCGGAAGAGGUAAGUGGAAUUCCCAGUGUAGCGGUGAAAUGCGUAGGGAUUGGGAGGAACACCAGUGGCGAAGGCGACUUACUGGGCCGUAACUGACGCUGAGGCGCGAAAGCGUGGGGAGCGAAC